AGGACGAACGCUGGCGGCGUGCUUAACACAUGCAAGUCGAGCGGAAAGGCCCUUCGGGGUACUCGAGCGGCGAACGGGUGAGUAACACGUGAGUAACCUGCCCUGGACUUUGGGAUAACCCUCGGAAACGGGGGCUAAUACCGGAUACGACUUCCUGCCGCAUGGUGGGGGGUGGAAAGUUUUUCGGUCUGGGAUGGGCUCGCGGCCUAUCAGCUUGUUGGUGGGGUGAUGGCCUACCAAGGCGACGACGGGUAGCC
rnacentral:rRNA from 1 species